AUAUCUCUCCGUACGGGAAGGAUGAGAAGCUUCGACUAAGGUUCGAUUCGAGCGAAAGCGAGAAAGCGUUGCCAA
rnacentral:sRNA from 1 species